CCGGGAAACUGGGGAUAAUCCCUGAUAGAUGAGGAAUCCUGGAAUGGAUCUUCGUUGAAAAGGUGCUUAGUGCAUGCUUCUAGGCAUUGCUCAAGGAUGGAGCCGCGGCCGAUCAGGUCGUUGGUGAGGUAACGGCUCACCAAGCCUUUAACCGGUACGGGCCGUGGGAGCGGUAGCCCGGAGAUGGGCACUGAGAUAAGGGCCCAGGCCCUACGGGGCGCAGCAGUCGCGCAAACUCUGCAAUGCACGAAAGUGUGACAGGGCUAUCCCGAGUGCCGUCCGCUGAGGACGGCUUUUCCACGCUGUAAGGAGGCGUGGGAAUAAGGAGAGGGCAAGACUGGUGUCAGCCGCCGCGGUAAUACCAGCUCUCCGAGUUGUGGGGAUGCUUAUUGGGCCUAAAGCAUUCGUAGCCGGUUCGGC
rnacentral:rRNA from 1 species